rnacentral:tRNA from 1 species
UGGGAUGUAGCUCAGUGAUAGAGUGCUUGUCUAGCACAUGAGAGGCCCUGGGUUCAAUCCUCGGCACCACAU